AGGAAUAUUGGUCAAUGGGCGCGAGCCUGAACCAGCCAAGUAGCGUGAAGGAUGAAGGUCCUACGGAUUGUAAACUUCUUUUAUAAGGGAAUAAAGUCACCCACGUGUGGGUGUUUGUAUGUACCUUAUGAAUAAGCAUCGGCUAACUCCGCGCCAGCAGCCGCGGUAAUACGGAGGAUGCGAGCGUUAUCCGGAUUUAUUGGGUUUAAAGGGAGCGUAGACGGGCCGUUAAGUCAGCUGUGAAAGUUUGAGGCUCAACCUUAAAAUUGCAGUUGAUACUGGCGUCCUUGAGUACGGUUGAGGCAGGCGGAAUUCGUGGUGUAGCGGUGAAAUGCUUAGAUAUCACGAAGAACCCCGAUUGCGAAGGCAGCCUGCUAAACCGCCACUGACGUUGAGGCUCGAAAGUGUGGGUAUCAAACAGGAUUAGAUACCCUGGUAGUCCACACGGUAAACGAUGGAUACUCGCUGUUGGCGAUAGACUGUCAGCGGCUUAGCGAAAGCGUUAAGUAUCCCACCUGGGGAGUACGCCGGCAACGGUGAAACUCAAAGGAAUUGACGGGGGCCCGCACAAGCGGAGGAACAUGUGGUUUAAUUCGAUGAUACGCGAGGAACCUUACCCGGGCUUGAAUUGCAGACGAAUUGCUUGGAAACAGGCAAGCCGCAAGGCGUCUGUGAAGGUGCUGCAUGGUUGUCGUCAGCUCGUGCCGUGAGGUGUCGGCUUAAGUGCCAUAACGAGCGCAACCCUCGUGUCCAGUUACUAGCAGGUUAUGCUGAGGACUCUGGACAGACUGCCAUCGUAAGAUGUGAGGAAGGUGGGGAUGACGUCAAAUCAGCACGGCCCUUACGUCCGGGGCUACACACGUGUUACAAUGGGGGGUACAGCAGGCAGCUACCGGGCGACCGGAUGCCAAUCCCGAAAGCCUCUCUCAGUUCGGACUGGAGUCUGCAACCCGACUCCACGAAGCUGGAUUCGCUAGUAAUCGCGCAUCAGCCACGGCGCGGUGAAUACGUUCCCG
rnacentral:rRNA from 1 species